rnacentral:rRNA from 1 species
UACGUAGGGGGCUAGCGUUGUUCGGAAUCAUUGGGCGUAAAGGGCGCGUAGGUGGUUCUGUAUGUCUACCGUGAAAGCAUACAGCUCAACUGUAUUUUGUCGGUAGAAACUGCAGGACUUGAGGCUGGGAGGGGCUGGUGGAAUUCCCUGUGUAGCGGUGAAAUGCGUAGAGAUGGGGGAGAACACUCGUGGCGAAGGCGGCCAGCUAGACCAGUUCUGACACUGAGGCGCGACAGCGUGGGGAGCAAACAGG